GACACUUAACGGACUGAGCCACCCAGGUGCCCCUAGAGUUUUGUGAUCAAAGACAAUUGUCACAUGAUGAAUUAGGGAAAGAUUGACAAGGGGAAGGAAUUUUAUGAACUCUGAACCCUACGAGCAUGGAGUAAUGAGUAUGUAAAAAAGGAUGGAACAAUAGCUUUGAGCUACUGUACAUUUAUAACAUGUGAAAAACAUUUCAUGUGUAAUAAUUGUAUCAGGGGACAGAUAUGAGGUUGAUGGGAACAUGGGCAGAUUAUUUAAAAUCAUACCCAAUAUUGGGGCUUCUCUGAUGAGAGCAGUUGUAACUCACAGGCAACAAGCUGAACAAACACGAAACACAGCUCACCUUCAGACCCCAGGUAACCUGAGUUCUGCCUGACAUAAUGAACCCUUUGCACCUCAUGAGGGUGAGUGUAGUGGCCCUCAUGAUCCCUAAACACAGGCUGUUCAUUGUUGACUUUUUCAGAUCGCAGUUCGUGAGAAGAAUGCUCAGCACAACUGGGUGAGGUUUUUCUUUUCCCACCUCUUCCUUUGGCCCCCAGUCUGGCACGACUGAAGGCGGAUGUGUUUCUCUCCCCCAGGUCAAGACUCAGAUCUGGGAGAGGGAGAUGUCAGAGCAGAGCAGGGAGGUGGCCUACUUGAAACACAGACCGGACAGGAUGAAAGAAAAGAGGUUUCCUGAGGGACACACAAAGCAGAAACCAGUGCCUGGAAGGCCAGAGACGCAGGCCCCCUGAGGAGAGGGCCUUUAGCAGAUCCAGAAGAAGGUGUCACCCCCGACAGUGCCAUGAAUACUGACUGUACCCAAACUGCUGAGAAGCACAAGGUAAAUGCUGUGGCCAUUUUCAGUUGUAAGUCCUU